CUACGGGGCGCUGCAGUGGGGAAUAUUGCACAAUGGAGGAAACUCUGAUGCAGCCAUGCCGCGUGUGUGAAGAAGGCCCGAGGGUUGUAAAGCACUUUCAAUUGGGAGGAAGGUUAGUAAGUUAAUACCUUGCUAGCUUGACGUUACCUUUAGAAGAAGCACCGGCUAACUCUGUGCCAGCAGCCGCGGUAAUACAGAGGGUGCAAGCGUUAUUCGGAAUUACUGGGCGUAAGGCGCGCGUAGGCGGACUGUUAAGUCGGUUGUGAAAGCCCUGGGCUCAACCUAGGAACUGCAUCCGAUACUGGCAAUCUAGAGUUUAAGAGAGGGAAGUGGAAUUCCAGGUGUAGCAGUGAAAUGCGUAGAUAUCUGGAGGAACAUCAGUGGCGAAGGCGACUUCCUGGCUUAAAACUGACGCUGAGGUGCGAAAGCGUGGGUAGCGAACGGGAUUAGAUACCCGCGUAGUC
rnacentral:rRNA from 1 species